UCUUGGAUAAAAUGAGUCGCGCACAGCUCACAGUGGUUGUGCUAUUUCUGUCUGCAGUCUUAGCAGCUAUAAGGCAGAUCUCUCUCUCUCUCUCUCUCUCUCUCUCUCUCUCUCUGUCCCUCCCUCAUUUCCCUCCCUUCCUUUAUCCCUUUGCCCCUCCCUCUUUCCUCUCUUGAGUCCCUUUUCUGAAAGUCUUACUAUCUUUUUACACACACACACACACACACACACACACACACACACACACACACGAGGGGUUGGGGAGAGAGAGAUAUUAGUGGCAAGGAAAGUUUCUGAGAACACAUAGACUCUGUUUACGCUAAACAUUUUGUUUCUAUGCUCUGCAAAGUCUCCACAUACAUACAUAGACACUGACUUGAUCAAAACCAUGCUGUUAGAAACAACUUGAACUGAGGAAUCAGAUUCCUGCCCAGCAACACGGCUCUGCAGCUCCACACAGGCACAUGGAUGUGUGGCACAGGCCCUAGAGCACAGCAGGUAACUACCAAAUGGCAGCCAUUCAUGUGACAAGCUUUACUCUGUCCUGCAUGGGAAGAGGAAAAAUAUAGGAAGAGAGCAUCACUAAAACAAAUUUCCUGGAGGGGUUGCUGCUAAGACCAUGCCUUAAUGUUUAUUAAGUGAAACAUUAAAUCCUUAAAAAGCAGCUUCAUCAAAAGGUUUAGACUCUGCUGUGUUUUGGAGCAGAAAGAGUCAACCUGUUAAGGGAUAUCUAUCUCCCAGGCCAUCAGAAAAAUAUGAAUGAUUUCCUUGUAUUGUUUUGGAAGUCUGGACUUUGGAGAUGAAACCACAGUGAUAGUACAGUGAAAGGAUAAUGUCUGUUAAAAGUAAUUGCUGGUAACAGAAUCCAAGGCUGACUAUCAGCUAAGGUUUCAAAUGCUCUACUGAAUAGAAGCAGAGAGAGUGACACCCUUUGUCCCUUGCUACGUCUCGCCAGCAAGAACGAUGUGGCACACACAGGAUCCUUCUGCAGAAAAGCUUUAAUGCGUCUUGAGAGGGAGAGCAUAAGCUUACAAUGCGGAGACCCUGAGUGAGGAAUAACUGUCCCUUAUAUAGGAAACUAUCCUCGCCUAGGACGUGUCACUCUCUGACUGGUCGCUGUCAAUUAUGCCAGAUGACGUACCAAAGUGUACGUGUCCCUUUGAGUAGGGAAGUUACCAGGCACCUGCGUAUUGCCCUUUUUACUAGGUGCGUCCUGCCGGAUGCCGGCGCCAUCUUGUAAUGGAGAAUGUGAGGGCAGCUCCUCACAACCCUUGUCUUGUCCCUGAUCUCAGCGGGAAUGCUUUUAAACAUUUUUCAUUCAGCAUGGUGUUGGAAGUUUGUUGCUUUCAUUAUGUUGAGGUAUGCCUCUCCCUUUACUCAUUUCUCUACCACUUUUUUUUAUGAAGAGAUGCUAGAUUUUGAUAAAGGCCUUUUUUGGGGUAUCCUUUGAGAUUACAUUGUGGUUUCUGUCUCUGAGUCUGUUUAUGGAUGAAGUAUAUCUAUUAAGUUAUACAUGUUGAUAUACAGCCACCUAAUUAGAUAAGAUGGAUGAAGCAAAGAAGUGCAGGCCGACAGGAACUGGAUGUAGAUCUCUCCUGAGAGACAUAGCCAGAAUACAGCAAAUACAUAGGCGAAUGCCAGCAGCAAACCACUGAACUGAGAACGGGACCCCCGUUGAAGGAAUCAGAGAAAGAACUGGAAGAGCUUGAAGGGGCUCGAGACCCCAUAUGAACAACAAUGCCAACCAACCAGAGCUUCCAGGGACUAAGCCACUACCUAAAGACUAUGCAUGGACUGACCCUGGACUCUGACCUCAUAGGUAGCAAUGAAUAGCCUAGUAAGAGCACCAGUGGAAGGGGAAGCCCUUGGUCCUGCCAAGACUGAAUCCCCAGUGUACAUGAUUGUUGAGGGGAGGUGGUAAUGCGGGGAGGAUGGGGAGGGGAACGCCCAUAUGGAAGGGAAGGGGAAGGGGUUAGGGGGAUGUUGGCCCGGAAACCGGGAAGGGGAAUAACAAUCGAAAUGUAAAUAAGAAAUACUCAAGUUAAUAAAGAUUUUU